CUCUUAUCGAGAGCGGUGGAGGGACUGGCCCGUUGAAACCCGGCAACCACGACAUUUGUCGAAGGUGCUAAUUCCAGCAACAUUUUUGUGUUGAGAGAUGAGAG
rnacentral:ncRNA from 2 species